UUUUAUAGGUGGCUCUGGUUACUUCAGGUGUUGUACAACUAUCGGACGCUGCGUGUGGUACUAAGACCAGCUGUGUUUCAGAUGAAAAUUGCAAAGCAGAAGAGGCGUGCCUUGGAGAAGAAGGUCAAAUGUUUUGCAGAAGAUGUCUAUGUGAUAAAAAGAGUCAAUGCGUAUUAAAGGAGAAUAAUGUAGAGUGCAUCUGUGACGGAUUUGCUUUGAAGGGACCUCGAUGCGAUUGUGAAGUUUCGA